rnacentral:rRNA from 1 species
GAUGAACGCUAGCGGCAGGCUUAACACAUGCAAGUCGAGGGGUAUAGUAGCAAUACUAGAGACCGGCGCACGGGUGCGUAACGCGUAUGCAACCUACCUUGAACAGGGGAAUAGCCCAGAGAAAUUUGGAUUAAUGCCCCAUAGCGUAUUGAGUUGGCAUCAACACAAUACUAAAGUCACAACGGUUCAAGAUGGGCAUGCGUCCCAUUAGUUAGUUGGUAAGGUAACGGCUUACCAAGACGAUGAUGGGUAGGGGUCCUGAGAGGGAGAUCCCCCACACUGGUACUGAGACACGGACCAGACUCCUACGGGAGGCAGCAGUGAGGAAUAUUGGUCAAUGGGCGCAAGCCUGAACCAGCCAUGCCGCGUGCAGGAUGAAGCAUCUAUGGUGUGUAAAACUGCUUUUUGUACGGGGAAGAAACACCGGAAACGCGUUCGGCUUGACGGUACCGUAAGAAUAAGGAUCGGCUAACUCCGUGCCAGCAGCGCGUAAAACG